AUGAACUUUUUAAUAAUCCAAGGAGGGAGGAAAGCCCUCGGUCCCCUCGGCUCGGGGGGCGCCCAGCCCGGCUCAGCUCGGCGGGCGCGCCCCAUCACCCCCCUCCCACGUCCUCUGCGGACAGCUCUGAGGGGGCGCGCGCACCGCAGGGCCUCCUCCGGUCUCUGCGGCUGGCGUCCGUCUGACUGUCCGAGGCUUUGGAACAGAUUAUCGCAGCCCUUUCAGAGCGCGCACAACAAAUGCGCCCGCCAUCGAAUGCAGCAUUUACCACCGCAGAUCCGCGCGCCGAUGGGCAGGCAGAUAGCGUCCGCGGGGGGCUCGCCGGGCGGCGAGUGUGCGCCCCGGCUCUGCCCGGUGUGUUUGGAGGAACACGUGGGUAUGCCAGCGAGUGGACCCUCAGCAAGCAAGAAUGCCUCACUCCACACGGGGUGGACGCAGUAGCCGGCGUUUGAGCCAGUGGCACAGGCUUUUGGAACCCGCACGGAUCUGUGGGGCAGUGUGCACCCAGGACUACCGCGUGUGCCCAGAGAUGCGCGAAAGGAAGGUCCGGUUUCGGGCCUUGCUCGAGCCUCUGUUGUGCAGACUCGGGGUUGGACAUUGGCUGUGAGGAAGAGACCGACCGCUGUGCGCCCGGUCCCGAGAGUGCUGGAGAGUGACACCGGGCCAGCGGCUGUUUGGGGACUUUGAGAAUGCCCAGGGGUCCUGGUCCUGGCCCAGGGGCCCCUCUGCCAAAGCAUUGCAGCUGGGACGACAGAGCCCAGCCCGCCGCCCGAGGUCCCGGCCGUGAGUGACACGCGCCGCCACAAAGGCUGUAUUUUUCCAGGCCCGUGCCCCGCCCGCGCGCGAUGGUCCCCAUGGCGACGCAGAUAGCGCGCGGCCAUUUUCCUAUCUCCCCGGAGUCUAUUAUACAGCGGGAUUAGCUCAUCUCCAGGCAGGUCAAACCCAAAGUCACACAACCUGCGGCGUGAGCCCCGCCUCCGGCCGCUCCUCCUCCUCCGCAGCCGGAGCGGGCUACCCCCGUGGCGCGGCCCGUUCGCGGGUGCAGAGCGCCACCUGGCGGCCGCGAGCACCCGGCGCGCUGCGUGAGAGCCUGCAGGUGCCCAGGGCUGUGGCUUUGUGUGGUGGCUUGGGCGACCCCUAGGGAAAAGCUGGCACACAGUAAGUACCCCCAAACCAUUUGCUGGAGGGAUGAACAGGCAGGUAAGUCGACAGGGGCGGACUUCCAAAGGCCACCGCAUGUUGGCAACUGAAUGAAGAAUAAAAGCCGAUCUCCCUGCA
rnacentral:lncRNA from 1 species